rnacentral:rRNA from 1 species
GACGAACGCUGGCGGCGUGCUUAACACAUGCAAGUCGAACGGAAAGGCCCUGCUUUUGUGGGGUGCUCGAGUGGCGAACGGGUGAGUAACACGUGAGUAACCUGCCCUUGACUUUGGGAUAACUUCAGGAAACUGGGGCUAAUACCGGAUAGGAGCUCCUGCUGCAUGGUGGGGGUUGGAAAGUUUCGGCGGUUGGGGAUGGACUCGCGGCUUAUCAGCUUGUUGGUGUGGUAGUGGCUUACCAAGGCUUUGACGGGUAGCCGGCCUGAGAGGGUGACCGGCCACAUUGGGACUGAGAUACGGCCCAGACUCCUACGGGAGGCAGCAGUGGGGAAUAUUGCACAGUGGGCGGAAGCCUGAUGCAGCAACGCCGCGUGCGGGAUGACGGCCUUCGGGUUGUAAACCGCUUUCGCCUGUGACGAAGCGUGAUUGACGGUAAUGGGUAAAGAAGCACCGGCUAACUACGUG